rnacentral:rRNA from 1 species
AGCGAACGUUUGCGGCGGGCCUAACACAUGCAAGUCGAACGCACUAGCAAUAGUGAGUGGCGCACGGGUGCGUAACACGUGGGUAAUCAACCCUUCAGCCUGGGAUAACGACUCGAAAGGGUCGCUAAUACCGGAUACGGCGCGAGAGGCUUCGGCUUCUCACGAGAAAGCCCACGCAAGGGGCACUGAAGGACGAGCCUGCGGCCCAUCAGCUAGUUGGUGAGGUAAGAGCUCACCAAGGCUAAGACGGGUAGCUGGUCUGAGAGGAUGAUCAGCCACACUGGAACUGAGACACGGUCCAGACUCCUACGGGAGGCAGCAGUGGGGAAGUAUUGCGCAAUGGGCGAAAGCCUGACGCAGCCACGCCGCGUGAGCGAUGAAGGCCUU